GGAUGAUCCCACAGUCAUCUCCUUCUACAAUCAUUAAAUUAUUACUCUAUCGAAACCACACGCUCGCGAAUACUUAUAGAGUACAUGUGGAAUGAGAUAACGUUACCAGGGAGAUUAGGAGACUUGGCUUAUAGAAUACUUAUGGAAUACAUCUCCCUCGCGACUUACCUGCGCAAUGAAAACUUUUUCUCGUCUUGUUCAAUAGUUGUACUUCGCACAAAGGAUAAUACGAUCAUAAAAAGACUCAUAAUACGAUCUUCGAUAUACCCGCGCAACGAUGGAUCACAUAAACGGUCGCAUGGUUGGAAAAUUUA